rnacentral:rRNA from 1 species
GUAAAAUUUUAUCGAUUUUAUUGUAAAAAAAUCGAUAUGAAGUAUAUAAAGAAACUAUUAUGGAUGAAUUGCUAUGUAUCAUAAAGAAAUAUUAUAAAUCAACUAGUUUUGAUAAAAACAUUGUUAAUUUAUUUUAACAAAUGUAAAUCUAGGAUAAAUCCAACUUUUUAACGAAGUGAAUUGAAAUAUCUUAUUAACUUCAGGAAAAAAAAUCAAAUGAGAUUAUUCUUCACCUAAAAAAUGAAAGAUAAAAGUCUUUAAAGUAAAAUGGAAAUAAUCUGUUUGAAUAUAGGGAAACCUUUCUCUAAGACUAAAUAAUGAUAUAGCAUACAUGAUAAGCAACAGAACAUUAGUACCGUAAGGGAAAUAUCUGAAAUAGUAGUUUUAUAAGCAGCUCAAAUUUAAAUUCAAAAAUGAACGAGAGCGUACCUUUUGCAUAAUGGGUCAGCAAGUUAAUAUUAGAUGCGAGAUUACUUUUUUCUUUUUAAGAAAAAUCUUAUCCCAGAUAAACCAAUUAUUAAAUAAUGAAUAAGUAUCUAGUAUUAGACCCGAAGCCUAGUGAUCUUACCAUGAUCAGGGUUAUAAAAGCUCGAACAGGUUAUCGUUGUAAAGAUAUCUGAUGAAUUGUGGUAAGUUAGUGAAAGACAAAACUGACUAGGAUAGCUGGUUUUCCGCGAAACCUAUAUAAGUAGGUAGUUUAAAAGUUAUCAUUUUUUUUUUAUUACUAAAAUGAGUAACGUUAAUAGAUACAGGGAUGAAUAAUUUUUAGUAAUUUAGCUCGAAAAAAUUAAUCUUUAGUUUAUAUAUAAAUUAUAAGAUGUGUGUACACUGUAAGUUUGUAAUUCUAUAAUAAAGCCAACAUAUGAUAUUUAUGUUAUAAGAAUUCGGGUAUGAGAAAGUCUGUCGCUUAAGUUUAUCAAAAACUUAAGAAAGUGAUUUGUUAUUACUAGAUCGGAUUAGCUAAUAAAAUAAAAUAAAAAAAAAACUCUGUUAAAUACUGAUAUAAUUCUAUUUAUUGUAAAUAUAUACCUUAUUAUUAUACAUACGGAUAAAACUAGUUAUCUUGAAAAUCAUUGCGUUACCCACCGUAGUAUAUAAAUAAAAAAAUGAUAAUUACAUCGUUGCAGGUACAGAAUUGUGAUCUCAGACAAAUUUUGAUUUAAAGCAUUGUUUAAUAAACAUGCAAAAUCUGUUUGUAUACAUUGGGGGAUCGUGAAGAUUUUAUCAGUGAGGAUUUGCUCUCGGAAGGGCAACGAUGAAUAUUAAACUGUCGGACAUAGUACGAUAAGGUUGUAUGUCUAAAGGGAAACAGCCCAGAACAAGAGUUAAAGGUUCCAAAAUUAUUGUUAAGUGAAAUUAAGGUAGUUUUUUUCAAAUACAACCAGGAAAUAGGCUUAGAAGCGGCCAUUUUUUAAAGAUCUCGUAACAGAGCACUGGUUUAUUAUAAAAGUUAAACGCACCGAAGAUAUAACGGAUCUAAAACAGUAUACCGAAACCUUGUACAUAAUUAAAACUAAGAUAAUGAGUUAUUUUAUUGCAAAAUAAAGUAAUGUUAAUAUAAAUAUAUAUUUAAACAACUCUAUUGAUAUUGUUAAAAUCAUUAACAGUUAUAUUUAUGGGGUAGCGGAACGUUGGGUUAAUUCUUAGAAUUUAUAUCCUUGAUAUAAAUUAUCUUUAUAGUGAAUUUUUACCAUAAAUAAUGGUAAAAUCUUUAUAGUGAAUUUUUACCAUAAAUAAUGGUAAAAUCGUUAAAAAAAGACUAUCCCAAGUGAUAAUGCUGACAUGAGUAACGAAAAAGGGUAACCCCCUCGCCUUAAGCUUAUGGUAUUUGCACAGCAGCAUUAAAGUAACGGCCCCUAAGUUUAUAAACCUUUCCUAAAGGAUUAAAUGAUGGGUAAAUCUCGCGUAUAUUUAACAUUUAUGAGUAUUUACUACAUAUCCAUAAUUAAUUUAUGAGUUUGUGUACAAGAAAAAGUGAUAAAUGUUCUGGAAAAAAUAUAUGCUGGUAUUUUUAUAUAUUGUAUUGACCGUACCUAGACACUACCACAAGUAAGCAAGUAGAGAAUACAAAGGCGUUUGAGAUAACAAUCAUUAAGGAACUCGGCAAAUUGACUCCGUAACUUCGGGAUAAGGUGUGCCAUUAUUAUUAAGUAAUAAGAGGAGACAUAAAAUGGUGUUGUACGACUGUUUAAUUAAAACAAAGCACUUUGCAUAAGAUAAUAAAUCAAAGUAUUGAGUGUGAUUUCUGCCCAAUGUUGGCUGGUUAACGAAUUUUCUUAGUCAAAUAACACUAGGCUAGGUUUUGAAGGAACCCCCAAUCAAUGGCGGCCUUACCGAUGAGGGUCCUAAGGUAGCGGAAUACCCUGGCCGUUAAAUGCGGUCUUGCAUGAAUGAUUUAACGAUACAACAGCUGUCUCAAUGAUUGUCUCAGUGAAAUUGGAAUAACUGUGCAGAUACAGUUUUCUUCUAGUUAGACGAGAAGACCCUAUGCAGCUUUACUGUUGCUAGUUAUUGAAUAUAAUAAGACAAGUUGUAGUAUAUAAGGUUAUUGAUAAGAUAGAAGUGAAAUACCUUUACUUAGUCUAUUAUAUUGUUGAAAUUAGGAUUAUUAUAGGUAGAUUUGAAGUUAAAACUUCAUACUUACUAUAGGUAGAUACUAUUAAGAAUCACCGUAAAGGAAGAGUUCUAGUUUGACUCAUAUAUGGAUAUUAAUUUAGAUGUGGUAGUUCCAUAUAACCUGAGUGACUGUUUUAGCUUCAGUGGAGAAAGCGGAAUCAUUGGAGGGGUAGCACCUCGCCAUUUGCCUACGAUUUCUCGCCAUUGGCCUAAAUAAAACUUAAAAAAGAUUCAUCCUCUUUUUUAACUAAAAUAAGAGGUACCUCGUGGUAAACUAUCACGGAUAAAACAGCAUUCCUAGGGGAAAAAGUGAUUAUGUAGGGUAGUACUUGAAGUAAUAUAUUUUAAUAUUCAAACGCUUAUCUUAAAGAUAAAUAGUUUUGCAGUUAUCUUAUAAUCUAGUAAGAAUAAUAUUGCAUUUAUUUAGGAAACAUUAGCUAGUGGACAGUUUAUGCGGGGCACAGAUCCCAUAAAAAGUACCUGGGUGUAUCCAAAGUUAAAAUUGUAAAUUCAUUAAAAUUUCUUAAUGAUUUUGUCUUGUUUUUAUUGUGUUUAUAACCAUUGAAUAUAAGACACUAUUUUUACUUUGUAAUAGAUUAUUUUAUGAUUUAUUCACUUAUAUUUCUAUUAAGUUAGAUUAAUUAUAUUUUUUUAAGUAAGGUUUUAACUAUAUGGAAAAUAGAUGUUUAACUUGUCUUUAUUAUCAAUUAAAGAUAAAAAAGAUGAUUUUUAAUAUUUACUGUUAAAGUUUAAUGGCUUAACCUUGCUUUACUGUUUGACUUACAUGUCUAUCAGUCGCGUAAGCGGGGCAUACGAUCACAAGAUGCAGAAAGGAAAGGUCUUGGAUUUUUGAAAAAAGCUACGCUAGGGAUAACAGGCUAAUUGCGCCAGAGAGUACAAAUUGAGUGCGCAGUUUGGCACCUCGAUGUCGGCUUAGCUCAUCCACAUGAAUGCAGGAAUCAUGAAGGGUACGACUGUUCGUCGGUUAAAGAGCUACACGAGCUGGGUUAAAUACGUCGUGAGACAGUAUGGUUUCUAUCUUCUAGAAGUAAUUAGAGUAAAACAAGGAUAGCCCCUUCGUACGAAAGGAGUUGGGUAUGGUAACCUCUGGUUUAUUUGUUGUCUAUUUUAGGUAAGUCCGUGUUAUAUCGUAUAAACCUUGCAAAAGGUCUUACGAUAAACCGGCACUAUUAUUAUUUUUAUCUUAAAUAUGUUUUUUUAGGCACAGCAAUAAAGCUACGUUAGUCAUAAAUAAGUGCUGAAUGCAUAUAGGCACGAAGUUUGUCUUGAGAUACUCUUAAAUAUACGUAAUACAAUAUUACGAAUCGUAAACUUGCGAUUGUAUAGGUUUUGCUUUAAAGGAUUUUAAUUUCUUCAGAUACAAAAUACUAAUUUUAUUAAA